rnacentral:rRNA from 1 species
GCACCGGCGGGAUACUCCCCUUGGUCCAACCUCCACAGCGAGCUCCUCGUGUCCAUUGCCGCCACCGACGGCGUGUCUCUUAGAGACUAUGCAUGCCUCCGCGCCGUAUGCACCGCCUGGCGCUUCGCCCUCGCGCCGCUGUCGUGCCCGUGCCUUCUCUCCCUCGCCGAGAGCCACGACAGCCACAGCGCCUCCGUCUUUUCAGUCCCGAUGCGGCGCUCUUUCCACCUCCACACGGGUUUCUCCGUUGUCGUCGACCCCCAAAAUAGCUUCCACGGCCGCGUCCGAGUCGUCGGCUCAAGCAACGGCUGCUUCGCCAUCGCCAUCGACGAGGUUCCCGCGGUAACCAUGGGCAACCCGUCGGCCUUCGUCACCUGCUCGACGCGCAGGAUCUUCCUCAUCGAUCCCCGCGCCGGCAAGAAGGUGCAGCUCGUCCCUCGGACCGGGGACCAGGAGUCCGUACGCAAGAUUGUGUUUGCUCCGAACCCGCCCGGCCACAACGACGACUGGACAGCCGUGGCCCUGUACAACUGUAACAACAGGGUAGCCUACAUCGACACCGGCGGCAGCAGCAGCACUGAAGACAAGACGUGGACGACCAUCAAAGUCACUGAAGGGAGUUGCUAUGAGGACAUGGCCUUCCACGCUGGAGACGACAAGGUGUACUUCCUCGAUUCAUCCGGGGGCGUGGACGUCCUCCGCAUGCCCCGCGGCGGCCAGCCGGCCGUAAUCGAGCCCUUUGCAACCCUCAUGCAAGACCCCAACCCUACCGCAGCCUACGCCCCGCCCUACGACGUUGUGUCCACAAAGAUGGUCACCAAACACAUCUUCUUCCACCAUGGCAGCCUGUACCAGGUGUGGAAGAACACCAAUGCCAACAUCACUUUGGGCAGCGUUUACUUCAGGAUGUCUGCGCACGAGAUUUUCGUCCUGAGGUGCGACCCGCAACGCUGGCCGUGCUGGGACACGGUGAAGGAUCUGGGAGGCUGCUCCGUGUUCAUCAGCAAGAGCAGCAGCCCGGUGGUGGUGCGCCCCGCUGUCCCAGAGGUGAGAGCCGAUUGCGUGUACUGGAUAGAC